GUUUAGUUUUUUAUAUUAUGAAGGAUUUUGAAAAUCUUUUCCGGUAAGUAGAUUUUUACCAUUUAGUG
rnacentral:tRNA from 1 species